rnacentral:rRNA from 1 species
AUUGAACGCUGGCGGCAUGCUUUACACAUGCAAGUCGAACGGCAGCGCGGGCUUCGGCCCGGCGGCGAGUGGCGAACGGGUGAGUAAUGCAUCGGAACGUGCCCAGUAGUGGGGGAUAGCCCGGCGAAAGCCGGAUUAAUACCGCAUACGACCUGAGGGUGAAAGCGGGGGACCGAAAGGCCUCGCGCUAUUGGAGCGGCCGAUGUCGGAUUAGCUAGUUGGUGGGGUAAAGGCUUACCAAGGCGACGAUCCGUAGCUGGUCUGAGAGGACGACCAGCCACACUGGAACUGAGACACGGCCCAGACUCCUACGGGAGGCAGCAGUGGGGAAUAUUGGACAAUGGGGGCAAGCCUGAUCCAGCCAUGCCGCGUGCGGGAAGAAGGCCUUCGGGUUGUAAACCGCUUUUGUUCGGGAAGAAAUCCUCUGGGCUAAUACCCCGGGGGGAUGACGGUACCGGAAGAAUAAGCACCGGCUAACUACGUG